rnacentral:rRNA from 1 species
GCUGCGUGGCUGUCGUCAGCUCGUGUCGUGAGAUGUUGGGUUAAGUCCCGUAACGAGCGCAACCCUUGUCCUUAGUUACCAGCACGUAAUGGUGGGCACUCUAAGGAGACUGCCGGUGACAAACCGGAGGAAGGUGGGGAUGACGUCAAGUCAUCAUGGCCCUUACGGCCUGGGCUACACACGUGCUACAAUGGUCGGUACAGAGGGUUGCCAAGCCGCGAGGUGGAGCUAAUCCCAUAAAACCGAUCGUAGUCCGGAUCGCAGUCUGCAACUCGACUGCGCGAAGUCGGAAUCGCUAGUAAUCGCGAAUCAGAAUGUCGCGGUGAAUACGUUCCCGGGCCUU